GUGGGAUCUUGCUCAUUGGUUUGGUCGUGGUAAUUUGGCAGUUCAAGUUUAGGCAUCCAACUUCACAACAGACACAGAGUCUACCAGUGGAUCAGCCGCCUCUUCAAGAACCAGUCAGAACAACAGAAGAAGACAUCAAAUAUGGAGAAAUCGUUUUCUCCAAGCGGAGACCUGAACCAUCCUCAGUGCAGGACAGUGGGCAGCAG